rnacentral:rRNA from 1 species
UACGGAGGAUGCAAGCGUUAUCCGGAAUUAUUGGGCGUAAAGGGCUCGUAGGCGGUUUGUCGCGUCGGGAGUGAAAACGCCGUGCUUAACACGGCGCUUGCUUUCGAUACGGGCAGACUAGAGGUAUGCAGGGGAGAACGGAAUUCCUGGUGUAGCGGUGAAAUGCGCAGAUAUCAGGAGGAACACCCGUGGCGAAGGCGGCUCUCUGGGACGGUACUGACGCUGAGACGCGAAAGCGUGGGGAGCGAACAGG